GUGUGUGUAUAUAAUGCAGUGUGUUUGUGUAGUGUGUAUUAUAUAAACACACUACACAAACACACUGCAUUAUAUACACACAC